rnacentral:lncRNA from 1 species
CUCAAACUGGACUAGGUCCACAAUGCUGGUAGUGAUGCUCACAGGACUGGGAGGUCGGGACUCAAGAAUAACGGGACAAACAGGAUUACUGGGCCUCACUUUUCUCCUAGUGGUGCUCCGAGGGUUGCUCGGCCUCCCCUCAGGUCUGGAAGGCUGUACAUAAGACUGGACCAGGCCAACGGGGCUAACAGGCCGUCUAUUGGGGGGCCGAGGGUUGCUUGGCCUCCCCUCAGGUCUGGAAGGCUGUACGUCAGGCUGGACCAGGACAACUGGUCUAACAGGCCGUCUAGUGGGGCGUCGAGAGUUGCUUGGCCUCCCCUCAGGUCUGGAAGGCUGUACGUCAGGCUGGACCAGGACAACUGGUCUAACAGGCCGUCUUGUGGGGCGUCGAGGGUUGCUAGGCCUCCCCUCAGGUCUAGUGAUGCUGACAGGGAUUCUAGGAAUCAUCAUCUCAUGCUGGUGCAGGCUCUCUGGGCUGCUGGGCCGGGGAAUCAGGUAGAAGCUUGUAGUUCUUCAGAACCUCAGUGAAGGAGAGCUCCUUGUUGCGCCUGCGUCUGUUGGUUUUGGCAGGCAGCUGGGAGCUGCUGCUGUUAAUCCAACCGGGAGACUCACGACAUCCAUCCUGGACAGGAACUAGGGACUGGAGGUCUCUCCUCUUUCUGUGGGCAGCUGUGGGCCUCUUGGACCAGACGUCGUCAGGAGGGGGAGGCCGAGGCACAACAUGCAGGGAGGGGAACGCUGAGGGCCUGAAAGAGGAGGCCAUCACUGGG